rnacentral:rRNA from 1 species
AACGAACGCUGGCGGCAGGCCUAACACAUGCAAGUCGAACGGAUCCUUCGGGAUUAGUGGCAGACGGGUGAGUAACGCGUGGGAAGCUACCUUGUGGUAGGGAACAACAGUUGGAAACGACUGCUAAUACCCUAUGAGCCCUAUGGGGGAAAGAUUUAUCGCCAUGAGAUGUGCCCGCGUUAGAUUAGCUAGUUGGUAAGGUAAUGGCUUACCAAGGCGACGAUCUAUAGCUGGUCUGAGAGGAUGAUCAGCCACACUGGGACUGAGACACGGCCCAGACUCCUACGGGAGGCAGCAGUGGGGAAUAUUGGACAAUGGGGGCAACCCUGAUCCAGCCAUGCCGCGUGUGUGAUGACGGCCUUAGGGUUGUAAAGCACUUUCAGCAGUGAAGAUAAUGACAUUAACUGCAGAAGAAGCCCCGGCUAACUUCG